rnacentral:rRNA from 1 species
CGUGUAGGCGGCCUGAUAAGUCAGAUGUGAAAGCCCUGGGCUCAACCCAGGAAGUGCAUUUGAAACUGUUAGGCUUGAGUAAGGGAGAGGGAAGUGGAAUUCCUGGUGUAGAGGUGAAAUUCGUAGAUAUCAGGAGGAACACCGGUGGCGAAGGCGACUUCCUGGCCCUAUACUGACGCUGAGACGCGAGAGCGUGGGUAGCAAACCA